ACCUAGGUCAAGCAAAAUUACCCACUGAGUUUAAGCAUAUCAAUAAGCAGAGGAAAAGAAACUUACUAGGGUUCCCUUAGUAAUGGCGAACGAAUAAAAAAAAACCUAGCUUAAGAAUUGAGCACCCCUAACAUCCGAAUUAUAGUCUGAAGAAGCAUCCUUAGAGGUGGACUGGGCCUAAGUCCCUUAGAAAAGGGUACCAGAAAGGGUGAGAGCCCCAUUGUGCUUAGACCCUGUCACACCAUAAGGUGCUGUCUACAUGUUGAGUUGUUUGGGAAUAUAGCCCCAAUCAAGCGAUAAAUUCUAUCCAAGGCUGAAUACAAGCGAGAGACGAUAGCAAACAAAUACCAUAAGGGAAAUAUGAAGAGGACUUUGAAAAGAGAGUCAAAGAGUGCUUGAAAUUAUCGAAAAGAAUAAAUGAAGGUCAGCAAUGUGACUCGAUCAGAUGUGAAUGGUAAGAACCAGUUGUCGAUUGGCUCUAGGUGUGGACCAGUGUGGGUCAUGGAGAUGGCCCAAGCCUGGGCUUUUGAUAUGCCUGCAAGAACAUCAUUGCCAUGAUCAUGGAAUAUAGAUGCACCAUCUCGGUGUGCCCUGGCACUGGCAUGUUCCUUGGCAUCAGCAUGCUCCCAAUGUUAGCCUAUGGGAUCCUUAUCCGACCCAUCUUGAAACACAGACCAAGGCAUCUAACAUGUGUGUGAAUUAAUAGGCUAGAAAGGCUAUAAGGCACAAGAAAGUUGAUUCGCAGGAUCACUCGUAGGUGCAUCACCAACUGACCUUGAUUUUUUGAUAAGGGUUUGAUUGUGAGCAUGCUUGUCGAGACCCAAAAGAUAGUGAACUAUACUUAAGUGAGAUAAAACUAGAGGAAACUCUGAAGAGGCCUACAGUGAUACUGACAUGUGAAUCAUUCAUCUGACUUAGGUAUAAGGGCAAAAGACUAAUUAAACUAUCUAGUAGUUGGUUCCCCCAAAAUUUAUCUUAAGAUAGCUGGAGCCCUUAGCGAGUUGUAUGAAGUAAAGCCAAUGAUUAGAGGCAUUGGGGGUGUAAUGCCUUCAACCUAUUCUUAAAUUUUAAAAAGGUAGGAUGGUAUGAGCUCCAAGUGGGCCAUUUUUGGUAAGCAGAACUAGUGAUGCAGGAUGAGCCUGAAUGCAGGUUAUAGUGCCCAUCUAUGCUCUAACCUAAAACCUACAAAGGGUGUUGGUCGAUUAAGAUAGUAGGAUAAUGGUCAUGGAAGUUGAAAUCCAUUAAGGAACAUGUAACAAAUCACCUACCAAAUGAACUGGCCCUGAAAAUGGAUGGCGGUUAAGUGCAUGACCUAUACCUGAUCGUCAGGGUAGGGGCCAAGCCUCGAUAAGUAGAAAGGCAUGACAGUUGCUACAAAACCUAAGGCACGAGCCUGGAUGGAGUGACCAUUGGUGUAGAUCUUGGUGGUAGUAGCAAAUAUUCAAAUAAGAACGUUGAAGGCCGAAAAGGGGAAAGAUUCCAUGCGAGCAGAAUUUGCACAUGGGUUAGUCAAUCUUAAGAGAUGGAAGAAGCCUAUUCAAUAGCGUAUCUGGUGUGAGUUUUGAAAGGGAAUUAGGUUAAAAUUCUUGAACUAGGAAAUGGUGACUGACGGUAACAUUAGAGAGUUUCGAGACAUCGAUGAGGGCCUCGAGAAGAGAUAUCUUUUUUGUUUAAUGACUUGCCACCCUAGAAAUAGCUUACCUGGAGAUAAGUUCUAGUGGCUGGAAGAACAUCACACGUCACAUGGUGUCUGGUGUGCCUUCGUAGGCCUUUGAAAAUUUGAAGGAUUGAUUGUUGUCUACACUCGAUCGUACUCUUAUCCUCAUUAGGUCUCCAAGGUGAAUAACCUCUAGUCGAUGGAAUAAUGUUAGCAAGGAAAGUCAAUAGAAUAUAUCCAUAACCUCGAGAAAAAGAUGGCUCUGAAGGCUUGGCACAAGGGUCCCAAUCUUGAACCAGUCAGCUAUUGGUGUACUACUCGAGUUGCUCCCAUGGCAAGAGAGUGUCACCAUGUGAUGACUGGGGGAUAAACUAGGAAUAGCUCCCUCAAAGGUCUUCCUUUGGUGAUAGAUAGUCGACUUAUAACUGGUACGAAUAAGGGAAAUCUAACUGUUUAAUUAAAGAAAAGAAUUGCAAUGGUCCCUGCAGAUGCUCAUGUAAUGUGAUUUUUACCAAGUGCUCUAAAUGUCAAAGUGAAAAAAAUUCAAUCGAGUGCAGGUAAAUGAUGGGAGUAACUAUGGCUCUCUUAAGGUAGCUAAAUAUCUCAUCAUUUAAUUAGUGACACGCAUGAAUGGAUUAAUAAGAUUCCCACUAUCCCUAUCUACUACAUAGUGAAACCAUAGCCAAGGGAAUGGGCUUGGCAAAAUCGAUGUGGAAAAAAGCCUUUCUGAGCUUAACUCUAGUCCUACUUUGUGAAAUGACUUAAGAGGUGUAGGAUAAAUGGGAGCCCUCAGGUGAAAUUGAAAUACCAUAACUUUUAACAUUAUUUUACUUAUUCCAUGAAUCAUAGGUAAGGCACGACCCCUUUUUUUGGACCCAAGGCUGGCCUCAAUCAGUUAAUCUAAGUGGAAGACAUUGUCAAGUGGGGAGUUUGGUUAGGGUGGCACAUCUAUUAAAAGAUAAUUUAGGUGUCCUAAGAUAAGUUCAACAAGAAUAGAAAUAUUGUGUGGAACAAAAAGGUAAAACCUCAUUUGAUUCUGAUUUCUAGUAUGAAUACAAUCCUUGAAAGCAUGGCUUAUUGAUCCUUUAGACCUUUAGAAUUUGAUGUUAGAGAUGUCAGAAAAGUUACCCCAGGGACAAUUGGCUUGUGGCAACCAAACGUUCAUAGCAAUGUUGCUUUUUGGUCCUUUGAUGUCAGAUCUUCCUAUCAUUGUAAAGCAAAAUUCACCAAGUGUUGGAUUGUUCACCCACCAAUAGAGAACUUGAGCUGGGAUUACAUAUCAUGAGAUAGGUUAGUUUUACCUUAUAGAUGGCAAUGUCAUAAUAGUAAUUCAACCUAGUUUAAGAGAGCCAUUGAUUCACACAAUUAGGCAUUGCACUUGGUUGAAAAGCUAAUUGCACGUGCCUGCCACCCAAUUGCCGACCCAUAGUAAGGGACUAUGUCCCUCAAAGGCACUUGUCAUAGGUGUAGCCCUAGUGGUGGAAAAUCCACACGGGCCUUCUUAGAGCUCAAUUCCUAUUGAGUGGUGGGUACAAUCCUUUGCAAAUGACUUAAAUACGUGAUAGGCUAUUGUAAGUGGUAGAGUGGCCUUGUUGCCACGAUCCACUGAGAUUCAACCUUUUGUCGCUUUGAUUUGU
rnacentral:rRNA from 1 species